rnacentral:rRNA from 1 species
AUUGAACGCUGGCGGCAGGCCUAACACAUGCAAGUCGAACGAGCGGCGGACGGGUGAGUAAUGUCUGGGAAACUGCCCGAUGGAAGGGGAUAACUACUGGGAACGGUAGCUAAUAACGCAUACUAUCGGAUGUGCCCAGAUGGGAUUAGCUGGUAGGUGAGGUAACGGCUUACCUAGGCGACGAUCCCUAGCUGGUCUGAGAGGAUGACCAGCCACACUGGAACUGAGACACGGUCCAGACUCCUACGGGAGGCAGCAGUGGGGAAUAUUGCGCAAUGGGCGCAAGCCUGAUGCAGCCAUGCCGCGUGUAUGAAGAAGGCCUUCGGGUUGUAAAGUACUGUCAGCGGGGAGGCGUUACCCGCAGAAGAAGCACCGGCUAACUCCGUGCCAGCCGCCGCGGUAAUUC